UCCUACUCUCUCUCUCUCUCUCUCUCUCUCUCUCUCUCCCUCUCCACUCUCUCACUCGCUCUCUCCAUAAUCACUCACACGGUCGCUGGCGGGUGUUGAGCUUCGCCGCACCGCCGUGCUGCCGAGCACUCACUCACACGAUCACCGCCGGAUGCUAAUCUUCAAUGCACCGAAGCACAGCCACCAGUGAAUCCUGAACCCCUCCUCAGUCCUCCCUUCAUUCCCUCUGGUCUCCGGCCGACGUUGAGGCGCCGAAACUGGCUUAUAUAUGGAGAGUGGAUAGAUGCACCUUAUCAGUUGUGACUCAUAACUUGGAAAGCUUUGGAAAGAUGAGGAUGUUUGGUACUAAUCGUUAGGUAGAAGAAACACUAGUAGAUGAAGUGGAAUUUUGGAAUAUAAUCAAGGAUUUAAUUGGUCUAAGUUGCUAAUUAUGGCUUGAAGGGGCUGGGAAUAAUGUGUGAGCUUUAAUGGACUGGAUUUGUGGGUUUCCUUAGCUCUAACUACUGGGUUAAUGGAUUUCUUUAUUAGAUAUGGAAUUUAAUGGGCAAUGUUUUUAGUUUAUGGGCAUUGAGGAUUAUGAGUUGUAAACUCUUAUUCAUUCUCCAGGAAAGGAAACAUCAAAUUUACAUUGGUCGAGGGGUGCAGAUUUAUGCUUGUAAAUCCUGGUUGGGGCUUAGAUUUAUUCUAGUAAAUCUUGGUUGAAUCAAACACGGCAUUAAAGAAUAUUUAAAGUUUAUCUUGUACAUAUCUAGAUUCUCAACAUUCAAUGGAGUUGAUAGAAUUCCUUGAGACCUGGCCUAUUUCAAGAACUUAUUUUGGUACUCUGCUACAUCAUAUAAUUUCUUAUUGAAUUUAUUGCCUGGAUAUGAUGUAAUUGGAGACUGUAUAAAUAUGCCCACUAAUAGAUGUUGUCUUCUAUGAAAUGGGUGUAAAAAAAUAUUAUUCAUGAAAUAAUACUUGCUUUCUUUUCUUCUUGUUCUUCCCUUUGCUAUGAGUUUAUUGUUGAUCUUAUGCUUUACAAAUUAUAACAUGUUCCUCAACAAUUUUUUCAUUAAAAUGGUUUGAAAAAGUCUUCUUUUUUAUCUC